AGAUGAGAAACAAAAAAAAAAAAAGUGUCCAUCUUCCUCCAUAGCUUGGCCGAAUGUCCUAAAGAAAGAAAGAAAAAAAUUUUGUUCAUCUCUUUUCACUCUCUUGUUGGCCGAAAAUACUAAGGAUAAGGAAGGAGUUUUGCUUCAUAUUUGGUUUGGAAGAGGAUUAGGAAGAGGUUGGCUAAACUUGCAUCAAGAUUAAGCUCAAGAGCAAAGGGGAGCUAAAUCCGAUAAAGGGAAGGAAAAAGUAGUUGAAUAGCCGUCGAAAUCGCUCGACAACAUCCGAGCUUAUACACUUGUGAAAAUUCCAGCAAUGAGGUUUCGCUCGUUAGCUAUCGG